rnacentral:rRNA from 1 species
CGCAUCUGUGCAUGCAGCAUAUCAAUAAGCGGAGGAAAAGAAACUAACAAGGAUUCCCUUAGUAACGGCGAGUGAAGCGGGAAGAGCUCAAAUUUGAAAUCUUCAAGGUUUUACCUUGACGAAUUGUAGUUUAAAGAAGUGUUUUCUGUUGAAGUUUUGGUAAAGGUUCUUUGGAAUAGGACAUCAUAGAGGGUGAGAAUCCCGUAUUUGACCAUUAUUUUCAGCUGUGUGAUACACUUUCAAAGAGUCGGAUUGUUUGGGAAUGCAGUCCAAAAUGGGUGGUAAAUUUCAUCUAAAGCUAAAUAUUGGCGAGAGACCGAUAGCGAACAAGUACCGUGAGGGAAAGAUGAAAAGAACUUUGAAAAGAGAGUUAAACAGUACGUGAAAUUGUCAAAAGGGAAGCGUUUGACACCAGUGUUGUUUUCUCGAAAAUCAAUUAAAAAGAGUUAGAUUUUGUUGUGUAUUGACCUUAACAGCUUGCAUUUCAAUUUUCUUGCUUUUUUUAAUGCACUUUUCGUUUAACAAGUCAACAUCAGUUUCUUUUGUUGUAAAAAGGUCAUUGGAAGGUGGCUUUCUUUUCGGAGAAAGUGUUUAUAGCCUUUGACUCCUGCAAUCGGAGAGACUGAGGUCUGCAGCGUAGAUCCUUCGGGGUUAGAUACAGUUUGUGCUAAGUUAUAGCUUUUUAUAGACAACUUGUUGACUAUGAUUAGUCUUGUAGCUUACUCGCUUAUGCUAUUUUACCUACGCUUAGGAUGUUGACACACGCGCGUGCUCG